rnacentral:lncRNA from 1 species
AUGGACAGGCACAUUCACAUGACACUUGCUCCCCCUACCCCACACAAAUACACAGGCAUACUCACAUACCCUCUCCCUCCCACAUACACAGACAGAUGCAUUUUCAUGUGUGCACAGACACACCGGCAGGCACGUGCACACACACUCACAGACCCACCCACACACAGGCAUGCUCUCACACAUGCUGCUGGGGCACUCGUGGUCAGCUCUGUGGCUGCAGCUGUGACCUUUAGGUCCCUGGGGCCUCUGUCUGGACUGUGCCUCACCACUUCCUGCUCCAGAGCUUCCAGUUCCAAACUCGCACUCCAGACUCUCUCCAGAGACCGUCUCAUCCUCUCUCCAACUCUCCUCUCAGCACCAUCUCCCCAUCUGUCCAGUGCUUCUUACUGCCUCUUCCCCAGCACUUGCUCCCCCUCCCUGUUCCUGUCUCUUUCCCUGUCCAGGCCUAUCCUGUCCCUUUCCCCAGAUCUGGCUUUAGGUGUCCACCUGUCUCCUGCCCAGACCUAUCUUCUUUCUGCCCCCAGAUCAGUCACUUCUCUUCCACCCAGUUCUGCCUUGCUGCAUGCCCUCACUGUCCCGGUCCUGUUGCUCUGUCCUCUGGCUCCAUCCUGCUCUCCCCCUCUAGCCCCACAUCUGGGCCUCUGGAACCACAGCUGGUUCUCAUUAGGAGGGGGAGGGGCGAGGCUGUUCAUUGGGGCCUGCAGUGUGAUGUCAGUCCUCCCCCCACCACAGCCCCUGUGUCUACAGGACCCGGGAGCAGGGGGAACAUGGGAGAGGAAAGAGAGGUGGGUUGGGGGGAGUGGUAGGGGGGCCAUAAGGGAAGGGGGUGCUCCAGGAGGAAGCAGAGGAGUGGCGGAGGUACAGAAGGGAAGCAGGCUAGGGGAGCUGGCACCGCCCAAGCCUCCACCCUCAACUUCCUGUCCUAGGGCCAGGGAGGGGCAGGGACCAGAAAGACAACAGGGUGGGGGGGGGGUGGUACUAGAAAGGCAGAUUGGUGCAGAAAUGGCAGAAGAGGAGGGUAGCCUUGGUAAGCAAAGGGAGGGCCAGGCAUAA